GUGCCAGCAGCUGCGGUAAUACGGAGGGUGCAAGCGUUAAUCGGAAUUACUGGGCGUAAAGCGCACGCAGGCGGUCUGUCAAGUCGGAUGUGAAAUCCCCGGGCUCAACCCGGGAACUGCAUUCGAAACUGGCAGGCUGGAGUCUCGUAGAGGGGGUAGAAUUCCAGGUGUAGCGGUGAAAUGCGUAGAGAUCUGGAGGAAUACCGGUGGCGAAGGCGGCCCCCUGGACGAAGACUGACGCUCAGGUGCGAAAAGCGUGGGGAGCAAAACAGGAUUAGAUACCCUGGUAGUCCAACGCCGUAAACGAUGUCUAUUUGGAGUUGUGCCCUUGAGCUGGCUUCCGGAGCUAACGCGUUAAAUAGACCGCCUGGGGAUACGGCCGCAAGGUU
rnacentral:rRNA from 1 species